rnacentral:rRNA from 1 species
AUUGAACGCUGGCGGCAGGCCUAACACAUGCAAGUCGAACGAGUGGCGGACGGGUGAGUAAUGUAUGGGAAACUGCCUGAUGGAGGGGGAUAACUACUGGAAACGGUAGCUAAUACCGCAUCCCAUCGGAUGUGCCCAGAUGGGAUUAGCUCGGAGGGGGGGUAACGGCUCACCUAGGCGACGAUCCAUAGCUCGUCUGAGAGGAUGACCAGCCACACGGGAACUGAGACACGGUCCAGACUCCUACGGUAGGCAGCAGUGGGGAAUAUUGCACAAUGGGCGCAAGCCUGAUGCAGCCAUGCCGCGUGUAUGAAGAAGGCCUUCGGGUUGUAAAGCACUUUCAGCGGGGAGGCGUUACCCGCAGAAGAAGCACCGGCUAACUCCGUGCCAGCAGCCGCGGUAAUAC